rnacentral:lncRNA from 1 species
AGGAGCUCCACAGACGGCAGCUGUUUUAUUACUGUUAUGGGAUGGGAUGGGCAACUCACUCUCCUGGGAGCCACAGCCAUGGCCUGGAAGGGCCAGGGACACCCACAGAAGCCGUGGUUGGAGCAGAUAGGAAGCACUAGGGACAGUGGCAGGAGGGCAAGGUCCAUAAGCCAGCGGGCCCGUGGCUUUCUGAUGGUUGGUCCUUGAGUUGGGUUUUGAAGGAGGGGUGUGUUUGUCGGUCGAGGCACCCCAGGGUGGCGGGGCAGUGGCCUGGAGGAGGAUCAGAGCCGUGAGCAGCAAGCCUGGCCAGCCGCAGGUUGGAACAUGCCAGAGAGUUGUGGGAAAGCUGGUCCCAGAGGCCUCCAAGGCUGGGCUACAGCAUCUGAGGCCACCUUCUGAGAGUGCCUCCUGCUCCCACUGCACCCCUCCCCCAGCCUCACCCCUUGCUGCUGGAAAACUCAGCUGGAAACCAGCAGGCUGCCCAGGGAAGGCUGACGCCCCAGAGGGGCCUGCUGCUCCCAGGAACCCAUGAAGAGUGGGGAGUCUGCGAGGCCCAGCACCCUGCAGGCUGGGUUCAAAGCCAACCCGGGUGUCCACAGCCUCGUCUUCCCUGUCCAGAGCACAGGGAUCGUGGUGCCCAGGGAGCCCGAGCUGGCUGCUGGAAGGGGCCCCACCAGACACAGGUCCACGGUGUGGGCAUGACAGGGCUGCUGGUCAUUUCUGCAGCCACUAUUUCCCACUCUACCCCCAGUUUUCGCUCUUGUGUGCUAAUGAUCCCACACAAACCCUCCGGGAACAGUGGCUGCCCUUUGGGAGUAGCCAGGCCCAAACUAACCAUGGAAAAACCUACCAUGUGCCUCUGAAGCCA